UUUGAGGCCACGGGUUAGUCAGCUUCCUGAGCUCGGUAUCUUCCGGCUCUGUAGUCGCCGGAACCGUCGUCGAGUCCUGCAGAAAGAAAUCGAAAAUCUCUUUCCAGUCUCUAACGUUUUUGGUAUGUUCUCCGUCGUGAUAACCCAUAGGGUUCACUUCAUCUCUUUUCACUCUUCUCUUCUCCUCCAACGUUAGACUGAAAAACUCGGCCACCGUCUUCUCCACCCUACGCAUUAAGUCCAACGACAAACCAUGGUUGAUCACCUGGAAAAAGCCCCAUCUCAUGCAUGCUUCUGCAAUCUCUGCCGCUAGCGCUGUCUUGUCGCAGUGUGGGUCUUGGAGAGAGGAGAGAUCGAUGGUCGGGAUCUCGUUGGAGAGAAUGUAGUCACCGGAGUUUGUGAGAUGAGUUUUGGGUCUGUGUUCUGGAGCUUGGAUAAAAGCUUCGUCGAGUACUCCCAUGGUGUUUUUUUGUCGGUGAUUCUUAUGUUUAUCUUUUAAGGCUUUGGAAGAUAUCUGAUGAUUCUUGUGGUGCAUGCGGUUGGGUUUGUUUUAUAGGAAGAUGUCACGUGUAACAAAACGCUUUUAUUGGUAUGAUGAAUGUAGACACGUUUCUGUGAACAAUUAACUUUUUUCACAUUUGGUUAAUUAGGAAUUACAGUCAUGCCAGUUGUUGAAAGAGGACCAAAAUAAGCCAAAGAUGUAUGUAGACGGAGGAUAUUCAUAAAGUUCAUGAGCGUUUAAUAUAGACUAUAGAUGCCCCUUCUUGAAAAAAAAAAUUAACCAUUUUUUAUUUUUGCAAACAACCAUUACAAAAUGAGAGGAGGAUUAGUUCACAAGAAAAUAGUUCUGAAUCUAGACGGAAUCUUGGAAGGGUGGAGGAUGUGAUAGUGCCGGUCCGGACUCUUUCGACGCCUAAAGCGGAAAAAAUGUAUGCCCUUUAACUAUAAUUAAAAAAUUACGAUAUUUAAACAUGUAAUCAAAAUGGUACCAUAUAUUACUAAAAUUUAAAGUUGUUUAAAAUAAUAAAAACAUAAUCGGUAUGUCAUCUUAUAUAUUAUUUAUUUACAGUUUCAAUUGAGUAAUUUUCAAUUCUAUUUUUCUGAUAGUAUUUCCUAUAAAUAAAAAAUGAAAUAUAUAAAAUCAAGAAUAACUUAUGAUAAAAUUCACUUUAACUUCAACUUCACUUUGUAGAAUUUUAUUGGGUUUGGUAGUCUCAUAGAAUCUUAGAACCCUAUAAUAAUUUAUUUGUUUGCUUGGAUUUUAAACGUUACUACAAAAAUUAAUUACAAAAACCUACAAAAAAAGAAGUAAGAAGCAAUAAUAAAAAUUUAAUACGAGAUGCAGCUAUACUACUAAAAUCAAUCGCAAUGAAACGUGGAAAUAUAUGCACAAUUUAUAGUUCAAGUUAUUUGUUAUAACAUUUUUUGUUAACAGAACAAAACUGGAAAGAAGAUGUCUUUUAAUAAAAAAGGAAAAGACUACUAAGGUGGACGCAUACUUCCGAACCUGUCAGCUGUAGGACGAUAGAAUAAGUUGAGAGGACACUAGACCAAAGUGAAUUUCUUCCAAAUUGGCGCCCCUAAUGUCAAAUAUUCUUGGCGCCUGAAGCCAAUGCCUUAUGGGCUUUAGCCCAGGGCCAGCUCUGGAUGUGAUAUACGCAAGUCAAAUCUUAUUGGAUACUUGGAUCUCGAUCCGAAGUCUUAGAGUAGCAUUAUCCCUGAAACUCACUUAAGGGUGAUUAAAAAAAAAAAAAAUUAAAAAGUGCACCAAUCGCGGACCGUCACCGACCGCCACAUGUCGGUGGGAUCCGCGAACAGUACAAGAAACCCACCACAAUCGGUCCUUAUUUCAUGACUUUAGAGAUUGGUUUUUAUGGUUUAGUGGGGCCCACACAUUGCUUUUUUGAAAGAAACCCCUUUUAGAAACUCCAAUAAUGCUGCUUUUACAGCAUGAUUAACCCAGGUUCUUAAGAUGAGGUUCUUAGCUUCAGAUAACAACCGUUUCUUACCUUUUCUUAGUUUUUAACUAAGAAAAACUAAGAACCGUCUCUUAAAUAAGAGAUAUAGGAGCCGGUUCUUAGCCAAAAAAUGUAAAAAAAAUAAAACUUUGUGUCAAAUCAUGAGUUAAGAACCCCAAAUUAAGAACCCGGGUUAAUUAUGCUCUUAUAUAUUUGUCAAAAAAAAAAAAUUAUGACAUGAUUUUAAAGAACAUAUCAUAUAUUGUUUCCGACAUAAACUCAGUCUCUCACAUAUUAUUACAUUAAGGGCUUGCAUCAUAGCUUUGGUAAUAAAAAGUAGACACAUAGUACAUACUCUUAAUUAAGGAUCUGACUGGUUUAUCCGUUACCAUCUGCAAACGCAGCUUUUGCGGUCGAUAGCGGUUGACAACGUUUUGAAACAAUCAUAUAAACCGUUACAAAUCGCUUCAAACCGCUUUGAACCUCUUAAAAUCAAAAGAUGGUUCCAGCUAGCGUUUGCGGUUGCGAGCGGUUGCGGAUGGAUAAAUAAAUAUAAAUUGUUUUUCAAAAAUAUUUAAAAAUUUAAAAUUAAAAUUUUGAAAUGAAAGUAUUAUAAAUAAAAAUAUAUACAUGUUUUAUAUAUUAAUUUAAAUUCACAAACAGUAUAAUAAUUUGUUUUAUAAAAACUUUAAACUAACUAACUAUUCAUUAGAAUUUUUAAAAAUUAAUAUACAUACAUAUUCUUUUAAAGUUUGAUAUAAAUCUUCAAAAAAAUUAUAACUUUCAACUAAUUUAAAAAAUUAAAUAAAAAAAUAUAGUAAUAUUAUUAAUCAUAUUAUAUUGAUAAUUAUUAUAUUUUAUUACAAUAGUAUGUUUUUAUAUUUUUAUAAUGUUAUCCUUUAUAUAUUAAAAGAUAAGCAUUGUAAUGAAUGCAUUCACACUAUAGUAGACAUGUGGCAGCCUCUCAAUGAUUUGAUAAUAAGUAUGUUAAUGCGUUCACACUAUAUUCAUAAAUGUGUUCACACUAUGUACUUUGCAUUUUUUUAAUAUAAAAUUCACAUACAUGGUUCCAAUAAAACUCUGGAUUUUUCGGUUCGAAUAAAAAUAGAUAACGAAUCAAAAGCCAAACUAUAUAUAUAUUAUUUUUUAUUGUUUAUGGAUAAAGUUGAGAAAAAUAUUCUUAAAUUUUGAUUCUAUUCGUUAUCCGUUUUGAUUUGAACCAAAAAAUCUGGAUAUCCGUAACUGUACGAAACAAAUCAAAUACAAAAAUAAAAUAUCCCAAAAAGAAGCAAAUCACAAAUACCAAUAUUUUUAGGAACAUAUAUCUAAUUUGAUAUGUUAUAUGCAUAUAUAUACAUAUAUGUAAAGAAUUAUAUAUAUAUAUAUACGUUAUAUAUUAUACUUUAUAUCAGUUUUACAAUAUUUUUAUGAAUUAAAUUUAUUAUAUUAGGUACUUAAAUUUAAAAUUUUAAAUAAUGUUUUAUUUUUGUAAUAAAAUGUUAUUAUUUAAAUUUUCAAUUAUUUUUAAAAUUUUAUUUUAUUUACGGAUCAAAUCGGAUAUUCUUUAAAAUUCUAAAAUAUUUCAUAUAUCUGAGUCACCGAAUAUCUUGGUUGCUAAAGAUCGAAUUGACACGAAUGCUUCCAAAUACCCAGAUAUUCGAUUUGUGUCCACUCCUAUUUACGGAUACUGUUUUAUUUUCUUUAUAUGAAAAAAUGACUAAUGUCAAGGCCUUUUUAUUUUAAAUUAAUUUUAAUUUUAUCUUUCAUGUAUUAUUUUGACAAAAAUAUCAUUUAAUAUUAAUUAACAAUAUCUUUAUAUAUUUGUCAACUAUUUUUAUAUACUUUUUACAUACACAUACAUGUGCACUUUGAUGUGAGCACCUUGUAACUAAGUAUUCACCACAACUGAAGUAUCUAAUUUUUUUGAAAGUUAAAAUAUUUUUCUUAAUGCUUCUUUCACUACCGAGCAAAUUGUAGUGAAAUGAUUUGUCUUAAAAAAUUUCUUUUUCUUAAACUAUUAUCGGUUUAGAAACUCUAAUAUGAAAUUGGUUCGAUACGACAACUAUCUAAAAUUCAUAACAUGAAAAUAAACAAAUAAUAUUAAUUUUUGGUUUUUACCGGAAAAAACCAAAAAAUCAAACAUUUUAGCCGAAUAAACUAAAAUGAAUAUUAAUUUAAAAUAAUAGUAAUAUUUUAGAAGAUUAAAAGCCAAAAAAAAAACUUAAAACCGAACCAAUAUCCAGAUUAAACAGAUUUAAUGUCUUUAUAUAAAAAAUAACGAAACUAAUAAUCACAUCCCGCGCAAAGCGCAUGUUAUUACCUAGUAAUAUAUUAAUAUUGGUAAUUUAUUAUUAAACCGGUGCAAUAUCUUAUAAUCAACCAGUCACAAAUAUACCGCAAACACAACAAUUUUCAAACGUUGUACCAGUCAUACAAAACGCUUAAUAACACUUGAAAAUGCAACCACCCGCAUCCGCAAUCGCAACCGCUGCAUUUGAACCAAUCAGAGCCUAAGUUAUAAGGUUUCAGGACUCACUCUUCUAAUGGCUUCACUUCCACAUCAUGUGAAGGCAUCAAGAAGAAUGCUAUUUUUUUUCUCUUGGUGUACCAAUAAUCCCCACCACUCUAGGUUCUACAUUCCAAUACUUAUCAUUCAUGAUUCAUCCAUACCUAGUAGAAUUGAUAUCAAUACUAUUAAAACAGAAGGCCCUUUUUUUAGGUGCCCUUCUGUUUCAACAAUACUUACAGAUACAAGCCACUGAAGUAUUUAAAACCUAUGGUUUUUAUUUAAUUCUGUAUUUUCCAAUUUUACUUUUAAUUAACCAUAUUCGUUUUUGGUUUAGAUCUUCAUGGGUUGGGUGCGAUUCUGAUGGUAUGGAAAAAAGGGCUUCACUUUUUGUGGUUUUCGAAUGGUUGUGACUCGAGAUUUCGAGCUCCAGUAUAUAGAAACAAAGGAGGUUCGGAAGAUCUGUGAGAUCAGGGGCGGAUCUACUUAAGGUAAGUAUGGGGCAGUUGUCCCCCAUGAAAUUUAAAACUUUCCUUUAAAUGAUGAGUAUAUAUUUUAGUUGCCCCCAUUGAAAAAAUAAUUUCUGCCCCCGUAACAAAAUCUGUUUUCAAUGCUCAGUUCAAAAUCUCCAUUAUUUCCAUCUUUUACGAGGCCAUUUAUGAUAUUUCUAUUAGAAUUAUUAUGUUUCCAUAUUUGAUUUACGAACAUUAAACCAUUGUUUCCGUUUUAUAUAAUAAAUAAAAUCAAUUUGUGUUUGUUUUUUUUUUUUGUUUUUUGAACUUAAGAAAAUCAACUUGUUGCUUAAAAAUAAGUAGUUUUAUAACAUCAAAUAAAUAUCUAUUUAUUUAAUAAGUUAUAAUAAUCAGUUUUCUUUACUUUAUCAUAAUAUAUGCAAUGACAAUAAAAAUAUUAUUUUCAUUUUAGUUUUUCAUAUAUAAUUAUUAGUCCAUGAUUGAGAAAGAAAACACUAUUUAGGAAAAAAAUUAUAUGAUCUGAAUAUAUAUACUUGUAUUUUUCAUAUCAUGAAAAACGUGACUUUUUAUAUUUAUAAUUUCUGAUAUUUUUUAUUUUGUAAUUCAAUUAUAUAAGAACAGUUUUAGUUUUCCAUACAAUGGAUCUUGUAUAAUACACUUAUAAGUUGAUAGAAAAUAUAUUUAUAAAAUAUUUAAUACAAAUUUUGUUAAUGAUUAUUAACUGUUUGUCCCCGGUAAACUUUUCGGCUAGAUCCGCCACCGCGUGGGAUUGAUAUGGAUUGUGGUAUCACUACUGAAGGUUUUGUCAAGAUUCAUGGAAUCUCCGAUGUUAUUCGAUUCGAUUGAUCUUUUCAAAUUGCUCUAGUUAUUCACUCUCAUGAUUGAAGUGGGGAAAGAAUCUCUAAAGAGGGAAGAAAAUCUAUUAGAAGUAAUGGCUUCCGGGAUCACAUCAAAACAAAGGUUUCUCUAAUCUGUUUCUUUCUGAUGCAGAACAAGAGAAACAAAAUCAAAGGUAUAGUAGGCUCGACCUAGGCUACACAGUGUAUGGUUUUUUGGAAUGUACAGGUCAUCUCUUUAUUGUUGCAGUGCAGAAGGGUAAUGGCAUAUGUUGGGUCUGUUAAUGUAUUGUGGUUGUCUUUUGGUUUUUGCACGUUAUGUUCUUUGGGACUGUCAUGGAUCUGAACAUACAGAGAUAUAGAGUUUAUGUCUCUGGUUUACGUGGGCUAAGGUGGGGAGAAAGAAUAAAGAAAUCCUCACUGGAGUUUGGUUUCCUGAGACAAUAACUAUUCAUGUUUGGAUUUUAUAUGCAUGAGUUUUAUGCCAACUGACACAAUUUGGUCAAUCGAAGUGGCUGGUGAUUUGGAGAAGAGUGAUGGAGGGGCUAAGAUUCAGUCCCAUGAAGGAUGGUUUAUGAUAUUGGUUGAAUUUGUGGUACAUCAUUGGUGUUUUCUAGGUGCAGAUUAUUUUGGAAAGAGUCAAAAAGACACUUUCGUUUCCAAAAUUAAACAUGUAUUGUCUAAUAAUUGUGUUAACUUUGUUGUGUAAGUCCAUAUAUCGUUUGGUAAAAAAACAAUAUCUGGGUAUUUGUUUCUUUUGUCAAAAAUAAGUAUUUAUUUAUUUUAUUUAGAAUGGUCACUGUAUUUAUAUAAUUUUUAAACUGCAUCAUUGAAAUAAUGUGUUUUAAAUUGUAUUAAUAUUGUUGUUUCCAACAUAUAAAUACAUGUAGCUAUAUAAUGGCUUCUUAUUUAGAUUAUUUAUUUUUUAACAAUUUUGUAUGUAAUUACAUUUUAAAUUGUACUGAUAUUGUUGUUAAAUUUAUUCUUUUUAAAUAAGAUAGAUUGAUAGAAGACCUGUGUAAGUGUGAUAAAAGAGAUGAUAAAUUACUAAGAAGUGAAAUUAUAUUUAUAUUUACGAUGAAACUAAUAUUUACAAUGAAAAUGUUUAAAUAAAUUGUUUCAUAAAUAUAGAACACAAUUCUCAUUCCAUAUAAAUAUAUAUAGUUGGAUUAACAUAGACGUAAAAGAUCAAACUAGGACUGGGUAAAAAAUCUGAAUUCAAGGAAUCGAACCGAAUCUAAUCCGAAAUAUAAUAUUGAAUCCAAACCAAAAUUGGUUAAAUAUUCAAAUGGGUUCAAAAUUUUAGUAUAUAGAGAACCAAAACCAAAUCCGACUCAAACCUAAGUAUUUUGGGUAUCCAAGUUUAUCCGAAAUAGAUUUAUAUACUUAAAUAUAUUAAUUAUUUUAUAUUUAAUAUAUUAAAUAUCUAAAAUAUAUAAGAUUUUUUUUUCUAACGGCUUAUAAGAUAUUUUGAAGUUAUCCGAAUAUUUGAAAAUAUUUAAAAUAGUUAAAAGUAAAUGUCUAAAAUAGCUAAACAAUUUUCAAAACGCUAAACAAUUUUCAAAACACUAAAAAUAUUUAAAAUAUUUAUUGAUUCUCUAUCCAAAUAUUCAAUACAAAUCAAUUUAUAUGUUAAAUUUAGGUAUUUUAGCAAAUAUUUUUCAAAUUUAAAUGUAAUAUAUUGUUUUUAUUUUUAAAUUUUGAGAAAUUUAAAGAUAUAUAAAUUUAAAUUUUAAAAAAUAAUUUAAACGGGUUAUCGGAACACGAACUGAACCUGCAGUAAAGAUCUGAAGCGAAUCUGAACCAAAAUUUAGAAAUAUCUGAAUCGAGCUAAAAUUUGUAAUUUCAAAAACCCAAAACCUAAGUAGACCUGAAACGAAUCCAAAUUGGUACACGAACGCUCACCGUAGAUCACACAUUGAAAUCUAAAUGUUUUGUCUCUCAUUAAAUCGAAGUAAAAUAUAAUUAAAUUAAUAAUUUAAUUGAAAUUAUAUCAUGCGCUUUCAAAGCGCGGAUCAAUAUCUAGUAGUCAUUAUAAUUAGAUACUGCAUGUGUAUAUCUUAGAAAAAUGAGAAGUAAUAUCUAGAAUUUCACCUCCAUUGUAAUCCUCCAACUUUGUCUUGAGCCAAUAGACCGUGGGCAUGGUGGAUAACGAUUUAUCCUUAAGAAAACUCAUUUGAUCUUUAAAGUAAUCAUGGAAUGAGUUCUAAAAGCCUGAAUGCUAGCUUUUCAGUGUGUCUUACGUACUCGUCACAUGCCUCCCUAAAACUAAAUAAGAAAAAAGAGAUUAACUUGCAUAGUUGAAAAUAAAUUCUUUUACCGAAUUGCUUGUAUGCUAUGUCCUACAUGUAAGUUGUAACUUGUAAUAUUAAUGCAGCCUUGGAAGAUAGCGUUCACGUGCAUCCAGUAGAGUUGUGUACUUGUGUAAAGUGAUAAGAUUCUGAUCAUAUUGGUUAACUUUAGUUUUUUUUUUUUUUGUAACAAACACUUAUAUUAAACACACUAACCAAAGUUAGGUGGAGUUAUAAUGGCAAGUUCAACAGCCAAGCAUUGUUUAGCUAGAUUAUCAGCAUACCUGUUACUCUCACGAGAAAUCCUGGACCAAGAAAAUCACUCAAACGAGGAAACAGCAGAGAUGAUAUCUGUAAUUACUCCAAACACUUCAGUAAAAGAAGAGCCCAAAUUGAUUGCUUUAACUAGUUGCGCCAAGUCAGAUUCGCAUCUGGUAUUGGGAGGCCAAGAUUCCUGCACUUAAAAAUUGCCUCACGAAGCGCCAAAGCUUCAGCCGCAAGAGGGGAUGUCACAUGUCGAUAAAGAGCAGAGAAAAAGGAUAUUCUGUUUUGGUUUUCAAUUGUCCAACCAAGCCCCACCAUAUGGUGAUUCUCAUUCCACAAAAUAUCGAUUUUAACAAGGACACGGUUAAAACCGAUAUGUUUGGAAUGAGAGUAAAUGGAGACUGAUGAUUGCAUACUAUGCUAUAGAUGCUUAUUCUAUUUAUAGUUUUCAUAGAAUAAGCAGAGAAAAAAAUUCAGGAAUAAUUAAGAAGAAAGAUAAAGUGAUUCGGCUAUAGAAAAUUGGUAAUGUAUAUAUAUUUUGUGAGACUGAUGAUUGCAUAUUAUGUUUUUUUUUGGACCACAGCUUCUUUUCAUUAACUUCAACUUGCUUGAUUACAAAUGCUAGAGGAAAUUAUCCAUCCUCUAUGAUUGAAAACAUAAACUACAACAACAUAAAAUAAAAAGGUUAGGCCUUCAAAAGAAGAUGACAGCGAAAUCAAGACGGUGUUUGAAUGAGUCGUAGCCUUUACGACAUGCUUGGACAGAAGAAAGAUAGUCACUUUGAAUUGUGACGUUGACGUUGAUUAAUAUAAAUUCAUUAAUCAAGAUAUUUAAAAUAUUUUUCAAAUAUUCACUCUGCAUCACUUUUAAGAGGUUGGAGAAGUAAAACAUGAGUCAUGUUCAUUGACAUUAUUAGGAAAAGCAGCAACCAUGGUGGUCUCGGGUUUUUAGUUUGGCAAUUCCUUCCUGCGUCCGAUGUUGUUCAAUUGGUUCUUGAAGACAUCCCAAGCAACGACAUCAACUGCUUCAAGGCGAAGCCUCUUCUACCCUAAGCCCCUGCUUUCAAGGAGUAUUCACUUCUUCCGUUCUUCAAUUCCUUCCUCCUAAGCUCCGGUCCUUGUUUUUGUGUUUCCUGAGGCCAACGCUGUUCCCAUUGUGUCGCGUAGCCGGAUAGGGGGCCAUUUCGACCGUCUGCGCUUGACCGAAACCAAUGCUUCAUCUUCAUAUGGCGUUGAAAUCGGGUCUACAUGAUAGCAAAUGGGAGCCAACCGUCAUGCCUGCUUGGAGCCACUUCGGUGAGACCUGACUCUACUUCUCUUAUGGCUUUAUUCUUGUUGUCUCUGGUUGCUCCAGUCUUCGAGAAGUGCUUGGAGGGGGAGAUCAAUUGUUAGUCUUUUGUUCUAGUUUGGUAUUAUGUUCAAAGCCUCCAUUGUUUGGUUAAGAUUUGAUCAUAAUUUCUUUGUGGUUUAGCGGUUUUUUUUAAACUUUUUUGCACUUCUAAACUUUCAGAAUAGCUGAAAAGGAGAUUGUGGUUCCAUCAAAAUGUAACCAAACUUUCAUUCUUGCACUGAUAUUUACAAUCUUAGCAAAAAAAAGAAGGAAUAAUGGUUAUAAAAACAGAAAAAAUAAUAGUAGUGUGUUGACUCUAUCUUUGUUUUCUUGAUUUUUAAUGAUGGAUAUGACGAUGAAGGUUUUGAUUUUUGAUUAUAGUACUGUAAAAACAUUAUAAUGAUAAGCUAUAGAUUUUUAAAAGGUCUAAUUAAUGGCCUUUUUAUACAAAUGUAGUAGAAUAAAAGGCCAUAUUCUUCGAUAAUGCGUACUAACUACUAUUAUUUUUUCUGUUUAUACAUGGCAUCAAUUACAAUGUUCAUUAAGAAGUCCAAUUAUAAUACGUAUAAAUUUAGGUUUAUCAUGUAUAAAUCUAGUGAUGCCAUGUAUAAAUCCAGGCUGCAUUAUGUAUAGAUUCGGCUGGAGAUUCUUAAAUCAUUUUACGUUGUUUGACACAUAACUUCCGUCAUCCCUAAUUAGGUAGUCUUUCUAGCAAGGCGGGUCUUGUACGUAUCGAAUGGUUUAACCUUCCCUUCUUGUGAUGGGAGGAAGAACAAUGGUAUUAAGAAUGUAUCUUUGUGCUCUAUGUUCUGUAAAUUCCUGGGUAAUUAAGUGCUUCUUUAUUUAUUAUAUAUUUCAACUACAUAUUGAUAUAGAAGUAAACACAUGAGUCAUGUUCAUUGACAUUAUUAGGAAAUGUUGUGCUAAUAAACAUAGUAAGAUUACUUAAGCGGCCUUGAAGCGAUCAAUCUGGAUGCUCUCAGUUUGGAGCUUCUUGUAAUCACUUCUGUUUCUUGCAGCAAAGAACUUGCCCCAAUUGUACUUUUUGUAACAAGGCGGGUUGUCUUCGCUUAUAAGCUCCUUCAAUGGCUCAAUGUUGGUAUCGUGGGAUGGGAAAAGGAAGAAUGGCAUUGAGAAUCUCUCUUUGCUUGAAUUCACUACCACUCUAUGUUCUGCACUCCAAUACUUGUCAUUUGUCCAUACCUACUCCACACAACAAAUAUUAUAUGACCAAGUUACAUUAGACCCCAAAAUAUUUCGAGUUAAUAUAUAUACACAUAGACCCCUAAAUUGUUAAUUUUUUUUUAUUAAAUUGAUUUAAGUCCUCUAAAAUGUCAGGGUCAGCCCAAUAUAACCAGAUAACAUUCGAAGUUGACGUCUUUUACCUGCAUGCAGUUGCCAAUGUUAAUGAUGAAAGCAUCAGGGUUGGGUUUCACAGAGAACCAUUGUCCAUCUGAUCUACGGCUCACUUGUAACCCACCCACACUAUCUUGUGCCAAGACGGUUAUAACUCCUGCGUCUGCGUGGCGUCCAACGCCUAAUGCUAGCUCCGGGUUCGGGCAAGGAGGGUAAUGGUUAAACCGCAAAAAGCUUGUUUGGUCCUUGAAGUAACCUGUUAACCGAUCACCGGGUAGACCCAAGCUAAUGGAGAUAAGUUCCAAAAGCUUGAAAGCUAACUUCUCAACUUCUCUUGCAUAUUCUUGGCACACCUCUCUACCAAACAUGAUUAGUAUUAAUUAAACUUCAUAAUAAAUGGAUCCUAAUUAGGCCCAAUGGGCCUUAAUUAAAGCCUUGUUUUAAAGCGUGUUUUUAGAGAAUCACCUGAAGUCGGAAGGGUUUUGAGGCCACGGGUUAGUCAGCUUCCUGAGCUCGGUAUCUUCCGGCUCUGUAGUCGCCGGAACCGUCGUCGAGUCCUGCAAAAAGAAAUCGAAAAUCUCUUUCCAGUCUCUAACGUUUUUGGUAUGUUCUCCGUCGUGAUAACCCAUAGGGUUCACUUCAUCUCUUUUCACUCUUCUCUUCUCCUCCAACGUUAGACUGAAAAACUCGGCCACCGUCUUCUCCACCCUACGCAUUAAGUCCAACGACAAACCAUGGUUGAUCACCUGGAAAAAGCCCCAUCUCAUGCAUGCUUCUGCAAUCUCUGCCGCUAGCGCUGUCUUGUCGCAGUGUGGGUCUUGGAGAGAGGAGAGAUCGAUGGUCGGGAUCUCGUUGGAGAGAAUGUAGUCACCGGAGUUUGUGAGAUGAGUUUUGGGUCUGUGUUCUGGAGCUUGGAUAAAAGCUUCGUCGAGUACUCCCAUGGUGUUUUUUUGUCGGUGAUUCUUAUGUUUAUCUUUUAAGGCUUUGGAAGAUAUCUGAUGAUUCUUGUGGUGCAUGCGGUUGGGUUUGUUUUAUAGGNNNNNNNNNNNNNNNNNNNNNNNNNNNNNNNNNNNNNNNNNNNNNNNNNNNNNNNNNNNNNNNNNNNNNNNNNNNNNNNNNNNNNNNNNNNNNNNNNNNNNNNNNNNNNNNNNNNNNNNNNNNNNNNNNNNNNNNNNNNNNNNNNNNNNNNNNNNNNNNNNNNNNNNNNNNNNNNNNNNNNNNNNNNNNNNNNNNNNNNNNNNNNNNNNNNNNNNNNNNNNNNNNNNNNNNNNNNNNNNNNNNNNNNNNNNNNNNNNNNNNNNNNNNNNNNNNNNNNNNNNNNNNNNNNNNNNNNNNNNNNNNNNNNNNNNNNNNNNNNNNNNNNNNNNNNNNNNNNNNNNNNNNNNNNNNNNNNNNNNNNNNNNNNNNNNNNNNNNNNNNNNNNNNNNNNNNNNNNNNNNNNNNNNNNNNNNNNNNNNNNNNNNNNNNNNNNNNNNNNNNNNNNNNNNNNNNNNNNNNNNNNNNNNNNNNNNNNNNNNNNNNNNNNNNNNNNNNNNNNNNNNNNNNNNNNNNNNNNNNNNNNNNNNNNNNNNNNNNNNNNNNNNNNNNNNNNNNNNNNNNNNNNNNNNNNNNNNNNNNNNNNNNNNNNNNNNNNNNNNNNNNNNNNNNNNNNNNNNNNNNNNNNNNNNNNNNNNNNNNNNNNNNNNNNNNNNNNNNNNNNNNNNNNNNNNNNNNNNNNNNNNNNNNNNNNNNNNNNNNNNNNNNNNNNNNNNNNNNNNNNNNNNNNNNNNNNNNNNNNNNNNNNNNNNNNNNNNNNNNNNNNNNNNNNNNNNNNNNNNNNNNNNNNNNNNNNNNNNNNNNNNNNNNNNNNNNNNNNNNNNNNNNNNNNNNNNNNNNNNNNNNNNNNNNNNNNNNNNNNNNNNNNNNNNNNNNNNNNNNNNNNNNNNNNNNNNNNNNNNNNNNNNNNNNNNNNNNNNNNNNNNNNNNNNNNNNNNNNNNNNNNNNNNNNNNNNNNNNNNNNNNNNNNNNNNNNNNNNNNNNNNNNNNNNNNNNNNNNNNNNNNNNNNNNNNNNNNNNNNNNNNNNNNNNNNNNNNNNNNNNNNNNNNNNNNNNNNNNNNNNNNNNNNNNNNNNNNNNNNNNNNNNNNNNNNNNNNNNNNNNNNNNNNNNNNNNNNNNNNNNNNNNNNNNNNNNNNNNNNNNNNNNNNNNNNNNNNNNNNNNNNNNNNNNNNNNNNNNNNNNNNNNNNNNNNNNNNNNNNNNNNNNNNNNNNNNNNNNNNNNNNNNNNNNNNNNNNNNNNNNNNNNNNNNNNNNNNNNNNNNNNNNNNNNNNNNNNNNNNNNNNNNNNNNNNNNNNNNNNNNNNNNNNNNNNNNNNNNNNNNNNNNNNNNNNNNNNNNNNNNNNNNNNNNNNNNNNNNNNNNNNNNNNNNNNNNNNNNNNNNNNNNNNNNNNNNNNNNNNNNNNNNNNNNNNNNNNNNNNNNNNNNNNNNNNNNNNNNNNACACAAAAACCUAACAAAUAGAACCUAAGAGAGUGGGAUAGGGUCCUUACAUGAUUUGUGUAAGAAAAGGGGGAGAUCGCCGGAGAUAUCGUCGGAUUUCAGGGGGAAAUCGCCGGAGAAAAAAGAGAGGAGUCGCGCAGAGAAAGAAGAGAGAAAUGGGGAAGAAGAAGUGGCUCGUGGUUAUAAAACCUAGGGUCCGACGGAUAUUUUCCGUCGGAAUUCCGUCGGAAUUUUAAUUUCAAUUUUCGCGAAAUAUUUGCCCGGUAAAAUGAAAAUAUAUGCCGAGGAAAUUCCGACGGAUAGUAAAGUAUCCGUCGGAAUUUCCUCGGAAUAUUCCGAGGAAAUACCGAGGAACUAGUGUUUGCGGUUUCAAAACAUCAAUUUUUUUUGCCGUAUUUCAUUUUUUAUACAAUUGUAAUGCAUACCAUUGAGGAUUCUUUGUAUAGAUGAGCAUAAACCAUGAAAUAAAAAAUUUCAAAAGUAAUUGAAAGUAUUCCCUUUACCGUUCAUUAAAAGGUAUAAGUGUUUGUCUUAUGUUGCGAGAUUUCGUUCAUACAAUCGGAAAAGUGUUAAUUAUACGGUAAGGAACAAAUUUUUGACUUCAUAAUGAACGUAAGACACUUAAUAAGGGUUAUAUAGGUGUUAUUCAAACGGAAAAACGUUGUUUUCAGUUUAAAAACCCUAUUUCCUCGGAAUUUCCUCUGAUUAUUCCGAGGGAACUCCGAGGAAACCCUCUUCUUCCUCGGAAUUUCCUCGGAAUAUUCCGAGGAAAUUCCGAGGAACUAGUGUUUGGGGUUUCAAAACGUAAUUUUUCUUAAAUAAACGCAUCGAUAGAUGCGUUUUUGAACAAAAACAAAUCGAUCGAUUACGAAGAUGGACCGGGCCGUAAGAUUGUGAUCGAUCGAUGCGAGUAUCCCAUCGAUCGAUCGAGAAUCUCAAUUGUUCCUCAGAAUGUCCUCGGAAAAGCUUGUAUGUUUUUUUAAAAACGCAUCGAUCGAUGCGUUAUAGAACAAAAACGCAUCGAUCGAUUACAAAGAUGGACCGGGCCGUAAGAUUGUGAUCGAUCGAUGAGAGUAUCCCAUCGAUCGAUCGAGAAUCUAAAUUGUUCCUCGGAAUAUCCUCGGGAAAUCUUGUAUGUUUUUUUAAAAACGCAUCGAUCGAUGCGUUAUAGAACAAAAACGCAUCGAUCGAUUACAAAGAUGGACCAGGCCGUAAGAUUGUGAUCGGUUGAUGAGAGUAUCCCAUCGAUCGAUCGAGAAUCUCAAUUUUUCCUCGGAAUGUCCUCGGAAAAUCUUGUAUGUUUUUUUAAAAACGCAUCGAUCGAUGCGUUAUAGAACAAAAAUGCAUCGAUCGAUUACAAAGAUGGACCGGGCCGUAAGAUUGUGAUCGAUCGAUGCGUUAUAGAACAAAAACGCAUCGAUCGAUGCGUGUUCGGAAAACAGAAUUAUAAGGCAAAACCCGACCAUUUCUGGAUCUAAACCUUAGAACUCUCAUCCCCUCCGAUUUCCCCUAUAAUUCGCCCCCCCCUUUCUCUCUCUAUAAUCAUCCGAUUUGAACAAUUUUGGGCUCCAUUCCACUUGAUUUUUCGAGCUCUACCUGAUUCCUACACUCGUCUUCACCCUAAGACAGGUAUACUCCGCGAAUCUCCACAUUCUGAAAUCGUGUUCUUGAGCAAUUUUUUGGGUUUUGUGAAUUUCUUAUUUCCGUGUUGAUUCCUUGAUCAAAUAUGCAUGAAACAGAUGUUUAAACAUGGAAUAGAACACAAUUGUCUGUGAUCAACGAGUUUGGAACAGGAUUUGAGAUGAUUUAGGGAUUGAGAAUUUUUUUCAAUUUGGUUUUUUUUUAUCACAACUCGAUUUAGCUUUUCAUUUUCAUGUUGCUUUGAGUUCUUAAUUGAUUAUAACCAUGUUGAGAGCAUUGAUUCUAUUUUGUAGAGAAUGAAGCGCACGAAAAUGUCAGCAAAGAAGAACACACAAGAAGAGGGUUCGUCUCAGCUGGAGAAGCAAAGGCCAAAGAAGUGGGAUAAGCCUGAUACCACCCACUACAACAACAUGAAGAAGGUAGCCGUUCCGGCUACACAACUAGCAUGUCCUGAGACGAUGACAAUAUUGGGAAUCCAAGCAGACAUUGAAGGACUGUUCCAGAACAUGGGUCUAGGCCAACUAUGUAACCUCAACGAACCCACUUAUCCGGAGUUGGUACGCCAGUUCAUAGCAUCCGCAUACGUCACCCGUCCCGAUGAUAGCCAUCAGGAAGGUUUUCUGGCAUUCGUAGUGCAUAAAGUAUACUAUGAGGUAUCUUUCACAGACCUCUGCGGACUAUUUGGAUUGAGUGCAGGGGAGAGGACAUCUGGUCUUUAUUGGACUUCAAAGCUGUUGAACUUCUGGGAAACGAUUGGCACAGGGGUUUAUAGAUCUUCUUAGGCAAAGGAGUCACUUAUCCGGAGCCCAGUACUGAGAUAUGCCACACACCUCAUUGGCUCAUUGCUAUACGGGACAACCACAGCCGCAUCAGUCACGCAAUGGGAGUUGUGCCUCCUGUACCAAGGUGUGAGGCAUUUGCUACCGGCAUUUGGAAACUCUACAUUCCCACCUGCUACUGCCUUCAACAUGGGAGCGGUGCUGGCCGCAAACUUAGCAGGAUACAAGGGGAAAGUAACCAAGCACAAGAGCAAUGCAUGUGGAUUUGGUGCAGUGAUUACUCGGAUCCUUAGACAUGUGGGUGUAGACUGCAAGAACCAGCAGGCAGCACUGGACAGAUCGAACAACAUUGCUUGGAACUACCUGGAUGUCAUUUCUCUAGUAAGUAAGGAGUUCAUAGCUGGUCCCCACUCGAGGAUCCAUCGGGAUGGUCCUUACGUCUACGUAUUCCAGGACCGAGCGAAGAAAACACUCUACUGCCACCUGCCUCAGAUCGGUCUGACUUCUCUUCUUUUAGAGGCUGCAGUUGAGUUCCUACCCCCUGCUACCGCACUAGUAGACAAGCCAUCCUUCUUCACGCCAAAAUAUCAGACCAAAGGCAAGGCCGUGGUUGAUGAAGAAGGAGAAGAUGAGGCUGCACAAGCCAUUCCAGAUGAUUCACAACCCCAUCAGCUACUCCCAUCAGACUCCAGCCAGUACAAGCUGCAAGAGCUUCCACCGAACGCCACUUCGCGCCAGCAACAACAUUGGAGAGAUCAGAGCAUAAAGACAAACAACGACAUGCUACACAAGAUCUGGGCUGCCAUUUCACGUAUCAGGCCGUGUCGUUGCCAAAAGGAUGAUGUAGUUCAUCGGGACAACUCUCCAUCCAGCUCUGGUUCGGGUUCGAGUGGUACACACAGGGUAAGAAAGAGGUCCAAGAGACCCAACGAUGCAGGAACAUCUGGAGCAGGAGACGGGGAGUAGGAGCUAUCACCGGCUAUUUUAUUUUCUUUUCUAUUCUAACGUUUUAUGGUCUUAUUUUCUGUUAAUUUUGAACUGAGUUUUUUUUUUGGGUUUCUUAAUUAUGAGUUCGUAUUUCUUUUACAUGGUUUCUUCGUUUUAUUUGGUUGUGUUCUGAGUAGUUUUUAAUCCGUAUUCAGCUUUGUCUUGCUAAAUAAACCAAAUAACUAUUAUCCGAGGAAAGAGGUUAUAUCUAGUGUUCCUCGGAAUAUCCUCGGUAUUUCUUAAAAAAAAAUAAUAAUAAGUUCAAUGGUAGUCUGUUUCCGAGUCAUCAUCACCAGAUGAAUCUGAAUCUGGAUCUUGGUGAAACUCUCCAGUCACUGGUUCAUCCUCUACGUGAAUGACGGCUUCCUCUCCAAAGUCGGUUAAAUCGACUACAAGGCCAACUCCAGCUAAAUCUUCUGCUGCACUUAAGUUGCCGGAUGUGCUUAGUUGUAGUGGGUCUUCCAGCUCAGAACUUCCCUGAACUCGGCCUCUCGGGUUGAGUCUUGUAACAGUAACCCAUGGAUCAUCUCUGUUCCUUACCCGGGGGUACUUGAUAUAACAAACCUGUAACAUUUAGAAAAAUUAUAAAUUAAUACACAUGAUGAUGAAUCAUUCUGAAUAAUUAACAUUUAAUUGCCUGAUCGGCCUGAGAAGCAAGAAUGAAAGGAUCUAAAUAUUGCAGCUUUCGCCUCGGAUUUACUGAUGUAACACCAAAUGCAUCUGUUCUCACACCUCGAUCUGGGGUGUUGUCGUGCCAAUCACAAUAGAAAACAGUACAGCGCAAUCCAACCAUGCCCAAAUACUUAAUUUCCAAAAUCUCAUGUAUGUGUCCGUAAUAUACAUCAUCUCCUGAUGCAGAACAAACGCCAGCAUCAUAAGUCGUACUCGAACGUCUCCUCUUCUGAGUUGUGAAUGCAUAUCCUCGAGUAAAAAAUCUCGGAUAUGACUUCACAACAAAGUUUGGUCCAACGACCAUCUCACGUAUCCAAUCGUCAAAUGUUUCACCUCUGGCCAAACCAGCAGACACCUAUUAAUAGCACAUAUAUAUAUAUAUUAUAUCAAUAAAUGUGAAUUAGUAUAAAUAUGUGAUAAAAUAUAUUUUAAUUUGUUUAAAGCACUCACAUAAGUAAACAUCCAUCCACUAAAUUCUCUCUGCUUCAUUUCUUCUAGUUCGUCCUCUGUGGCGUAUCUAUACUCGAACCGCUUUUCUGCCAUGAAAAUCCUGUAUAUGAUGACAAUAAUGUAAUUAAUUAAGAUUUGAAUUUCAACUUGUUAAAAUAAAAAUUUGUAAGCUCAUUUAUUUACCUCUCAUAUUGAAGAACGUCUUCGCAGUUGGUGAGCAAAUAUGUUUGCAAAUGACUGCGCUCCUGCUCAGUAAGUCGGCGGUCCUUUGGUUUUCCGCUAAGUCGUCCAACAUCUGUGAAAAUGUCUGGAACCGUAACAUGAUAUGCUGCCCGUUCACCUCUAUCAUCAUGCCGAGCAGGUCUUCUGUUUUUGGUCUGAACUUCUGCUGGAAAAUAGUACUCGGCAAAGUUUGAAGUUUCUUCAUUGAUCAUCUGUGCGACUAUAGAACCUUCCACCCUACUAAAAUUUUUCACCAUCUUCUUCAAAUGGAACAUAUACCGCUCAUACAGAUACAUCCAUCUAUACUGCACAGGACCACCAAGUUCCAAUUCUCUUGCCAGGUGAAUAACAAGAUGCUCCAUAACAUCAAAAAAUGAGGGAGGAAAUAUCUUCUCAAGGUUGCACUGAAUCACGGCUAUGUUAGUCUUCAAAUUUUCAAUACCUUCAAGAGUCACUGAUCUCGUGCAUAAAUCGCGGAAGAAACCACUUAUCCCUGCAAUUGCUUCAUGAACAUUUCGUGGUAAUAGUUCCUUGAAGGCGAACGGAAGGAGGCGCUGCAUCAUUACAUGGCAAUCGUGGCUUUUCAAGCCAGUAAACUUUCCUUCCUUUCUGUCGAUACAGUUACGCAAAUUUGAUGCGUAACCGUCUGGAAAUUCCAUAUCGUUUGAAAUCCAAUCAAAGAACGCAUCUUUUCCCGCUGCAUCAAGUCGGUAUAUGGGAAAAGGAGCCCUACCAUUUUCAUCAACAUGAAGUUCUGAACGAGCACAUAUAUCGACUAAAUCCAGUCUUGACUUCAAAUUAUCCUUUGUUUUACCUUGAACAUUAAGGAUCGUGUUCAUGAGAUUGUCAAAAAAGUUCUUCUCAAUAUGCAUGACAUCUAAAUUAUGCCUUAGCAGAUGAUCCUCCCAGUAUGACAGAUCCCAGAAAAUACUUUUUUGUGCCAGUUAUGUAGUUCUCCAACAGCAUCUACCGGAAAACGCUCAUGUCCACCGACUUCUGGCGUCCUUUCUGCACCAAAAUCUCUUAGUUGUAUCUUCAAAUCUUUCCCACAAAUUUCCGGAGGUGGACUGUCAAACACCCUCUUGUUCUUCGUAAACAAAUUCCUACUCCUACGAUAUGGAUGAUCAGGUGGUAGGAAUCUCCUGUGACAGUCAAACCAACACGUUUUCCUUCCGUGUUUUAAUUGGAAAGCAUCAGUGUUAUCAUGACAAUAUGGACAUGAUAGCCUUCCAUGCGUUGUCCAUCCAGACAACAUACCAUAUGCUGGAAAAUCACUUAUUGUCCACAUUAGUACUGCCCGCAUUUGAAAGUUUUCUUUACACGAAACAUCGUAUGUUUCAGCACCUUGAGCCCAUAGUUGUUGCAACUCAUAUAUUAGUGGCUGAAGAAACACAUCAAGUGAUCUCUUAGGAUGCUCUGGUUCGGGAACGAGAAUUGAGAGAAACAAAAACUCUCGUCGCAAGCACAAGUUUGGGGGGAGGUUGUAUGGUGUAAGAAUAACGGGCCAUAGAGAAUACUGUCUUCCACUCUUGCCAAACGGACUAAAACCAUCAGUACAUAAUCCAAGGUAGACAUUUCUUCUCUCAUACGCAAAGUCGGGAUACUUUGAUUGGAAAUGCUUCCACGCUUUUGCAUCUGAAGGAUGUCUGAUCUCACCAUCUGUUGAGUGCUCCGCAUGCCAACUCAUUGGUUGCGCUGUGCGUUCAGACAGAUACAACCUCUGCAACCUUUCCGUCAAAGGUAAAUACCACAUCCUUUUAUAUGGCACAGGAACUCUUCCACUCGUAUCUUUAUAAUGAGGCUUUCCACAAAAUUUGCAUGUAACCCGCUGUUCAUCCGCCCUCCAAUAAAUCAUGCAGUUGUCGCUGCAUACAUCUAUUACCUGAUACGAUAAACCAAGACCAGCUACGAGUUUCUGAACCUCGUAGUAUGAACCAGGAGCUACAUUAUCCUCGGGUAGAAUACCUUUUACAAAAUCAGCAAUCGCAUCCACACAGUCUUCAGCCAAAUUAUAAUCUGUUUUAUUGCCCAUCAAUCUUGUAGCAGAUGAUAAAGCUGAAUGACCAUCUCUGCAACCUUCGUACAAUGGUUGCUUUCCAGCAUCCAACAUAUCAUAAAAUCUCCUAGCUUCUGCAUUGGGUAAAUCUUCCCCUAUAAAAUGAUCAUUUACCAUCUGCUCAGUACCUACACCAUAAUCUACAUCCGUUCUAAUUGGUUCUUCUAAUCUAACCGCUGGCUGAGGCUCGCUAGUACUACCAUGUUCAUAAUCAGUUUCCCCAUGAUGAUACCAAAUUUUGUAACUUCGUGUAAACCCACUCAAAUAUAGAUGAGUCCAAACAUCCCACUCUUUAAUAACCUUUCUAUUUUUACAAUUAGAGCAAAGACAUCUUAACUUACCUGUUUUUGCUUCCCGUUGUCGGUGAACUAACCCCAUGAAUUCAGUUAUACCUCGUUGGUAUUCUUCCGUAAGCAAUCUCGUGUUCGGAUCCAAAUGAGGUCGAUCGAUCCAAGAACGAAAAUAAUUUGAAGAAGACAUAUUUUUUAUGAAUCAAAUUCGUGUGUAAAUAGAGUAAGAGGGAGGAUGAAGAUAUGGAGUGAAUGAAGAGGAAGAGGAGUGCUUGUAUAUAUAGAUUAAAUCCUGCCGACAGACCGAGGAAAUUCCGACGGAAUUCCGACGCUAACGGCUAGUUCGUCGGAAUUUCCUCAGAAUUUUGUAAAAUCCCCCAACGGCUCUCCAACGGCUAAAAUAUUUCCUCGGAAUUCAUCGGUUUUUUCCGAGGAACACAUUGUUCCUCGGAAUUUCCUCGGAAUAUUCCGACGGAUUGAGGUUUCCUCGGAAUUCCGUCGGUAUAUUCCGAGGAAANNNNNNNNNNUUUCCUCGGAAUAUUCCGACGGACUGAGGUUUCCUCGGAAUUCCGUCAGUAUAUUUCGAGGAAUUUCCGAGGAACCCCAAUUUUGUGUUUCCUCGGAAUUUCCUCGGAAAUUCCUCGGUAUAUUCCGAGGAUUUCAUUUUCCGUCGGAAUGUCCGUCAGAAUACCGCUGUUUUCUUGUAGUGUAUAUAUAUAUAUAUUCCAUGUGACGUUUAUAUACAUAUAUAUAUAUAUAUAUAUAUGUAUAUAUGUAUAUAUAUAUAUGUGUGUGUGUGGAUAUUCAUGCAUACAUAAGGACAAUUAAGUAUGUAUGAUGUUUUGUUUACAAAAGAAGGUCUGUAUGGUAAAGUCAAUCUCUGCAUUGUCAAUCCCCAUUAGACGGGUGUAAAUAUUUAUUUAUAUUAAGUUAUUGCUACGAAAUCAGUGGUCCGUAGCUACAAAGAUUAUGUAUUCAGCUUGGUCCCGGUAAUUUGCAUAUAAAUUGAUUAAUGAUGAGCAAACAAAAGAUCUGAUGAAGAGUUUAUCUCACAUUGAUUCAAUACUUUCGUAGUAGACAAACUAAAAAUAAAAAUAAUUUAAAGAGUUUGUUGGCGAAAAGUGAACCGAAUUUCCAACAAGGUUAGAGUAAGCCAUUGAAAAAGUAAGCCAUUGAAAACGGGUAUUGGCUCAACCAAGCAUUGUUCUAACUAGAUUUCUUGCUACUAACAUGUUUCUUACGCGUCACAGAACACUAUGAGACUUGUAAUAUGAAGAUCCGAAGAGCUGAAUUUCCAUAGAGUAGAAAUAAUCCAAACUAUAAUAUGACUGAAGUCUAAAGAUUUGGAGUUUUAGAGACUUUCUGCAGAAAUUCAAAAUUGUCUUCCUUUUUUAAGAUUCAAAAUUAUCGAAAUAAAUAAAGUAUCCAACACAAAACAACUACAAAAAGAAACAGAAUAUCACUUCGAUCACUCUUUUCUUCUUCUUGUCAAUAUGGCAAAAAUACAAUAAAUAAAGAACACAAUAGUAGGUGGUAUGUGUGCACGGCAUCGUGUUUCUAUAGAAUGUAGUAUCCAUUGUCAAAUAGAGUUUUUCCUUGUUUCGUAUGGUCUUAAGGAACAAGAUAGUGUAUCUCCUAUUAUGUUUACAUAAAAUAAAUGUAUUUUUUUUUGCUUAAAAAUAUAAUAAAAUAUAUAAAUGUAGUUCAAAUAGAAAAUUGUUAGAAAAUAUUUUUUACUUGAUUAGCCAUCGUUUUAUUUAUAAUUUCAUGUGAUAUAUUUUUAAUUAUAUUCUAUAUAUUACAUUUUUUAAUUCUGUCAUAUUAUAUCUCUUAUUAGAUACUAUAGUAGAUAUUAGAUUAAAAAUAAAAGUAUACAAAAUUAAUAGUAAUUUUUUGAGAUAAAAUAUCCGAAAUGUAGAUAUAUCCCAAAAAGUGUAGCCUAGGUAUCUUAUUUGUAUAUUCCCAACUAACAAAUUAAGUAGAAAUGAAAAUUGAGAAAAUAAUGUAACUAUUAUUGGACAUGACAUGAACCUCCCUUGGGAUACACAUAUAUCAUUUUAACUUUUAUACUGAUAAGUGAUAACUACCAAACAUAGAAGUUCCUCUGAUCGUCCAGGUAGCUUUAUACUGUAUGUAGCUUAUGUAUGUUUGUAUAAUUUUUGAUGUCGGAUCCCACCCUCUUUAACCCCAUGCAUGUAUAAUUAAAAAUUGAAGUCGGUAUGCGAAAUAUUUAAUUCUAAUAAUUUUCACUUAAUUAAAAUUAAUAUCUCUAAUGAAAUAAAAUAAACAUCUGUGAUACCAAAUUUUGAACAGCCAGUAUGAUGAUAAUCAUUACACUAAAUAUCAUGCCGUGGAGGUUUUUUAUAAAAUUUAAAUUUACUUCAUUUUUUAAUGUGCAUUAGAUUUAUGUCUCCAAUUAGAUUUUUUAACCUAAAUUUUAUUAGUUUUUAUGGAUGAAUAAUGAUAGAGGACCCUAUAUACGGACCUCUUAAUUUAAAACAUUACUUUCAAAUCAACCCAACAAGUUGGUGUUGAUCUCAUCUAAUCUAUUAACUACAUUAACAUACAUUCAUUGUAUCUGUAAAGUCCCGAAUACUAAAAAUACGUAAUGCCGACUUAGUAUGAACAUGAUUUCGCAAAUUGAAAGUUGAAAAUAAGAAUUAAAAUUAAACUUAGAAUCAAUAUAGACUGCCAGAAGGUGCUAAAAAGAUGUAUAGACUGCCACAAGCACCAGUAGCAACCGUUUUCAGAACUAAUUUGUGGAUGUAGGUGUAUUAAAUUUAUUGAUAUUAAAUAUUUACCUAUAUGGAAUUUUCAUUUUUACUUCUUAUUUUAGUGUCAAUUUUAACAGAGGGAUUUUUAAAUAAAAUACACUAAAGAUGUCAAAUAGAUAAAAAUUGAUGGGUCACUCCAACCCAAUUCAUACAUACAUCUUAAUAGGUAAAGAUCAGGUUUAAAUUAAUUAAUGGAUAAAUGAGUUUAAUAAGUUGGAUUGAAAUAAUUUGAAUUUAAACAUAUAAUGAAUUGUCCAUAACAAAACCAACAAAAAAAUAUAAUCAAAUUUGAUUUAACUAAAUAUAUAAACCAAAAAUAACCAUAUCACAUAUUUAAAUUAAUUUAGUAAAUGAAGUCUAGUCUUUUUUUUCAUUAAUUUAAACUUCCCAUUUUAAGCUUCUCCUCGGUUUCAUAUUUUCUUUUCAUAAUCAAAAUUUUCCAUCAAAAGUACAUACUUUCAUAUUUCUGUCAGAACAUAAAUCUGUGUUUUGUAGCCAAAAUUAUAUUUUCGCAAAAUAUUGAAAAUGUAUAUUAUUGCCAAUUAGUUUACCUAUUUUGACACUGCUAGCGCAUAACUAGUGUGUAGCUAAAGUGUUUUAAGAAUUGGAAAUAAAUACAAUAUGUUGAAAAUAUACAGUAAAAACCCUAUAAAUUAAUAAUGUUAAGAUUAUAAAAUUUUAUUAAUUAUAGAGUUAUUAAUUUACAAAAUAAUCUGUUUAAAAAUUUAUAUAUAUAUAUAUAUGUAUUUUUAUAUAAAACAAAAAAAAAACUUGAUUUUAUGGUAUAUCCAUUGAUUAAAUUGUAUAGAUAAAAAUUUUAUGUUGUUUUUAUCGAUUAUUUGGUGUAUAAAGAAAUAUUUACCGUAAUUGUAUAUGGACUUUUAAAUAUAAAAUGAAAAAUAACAUUGAAAUAUCUGAAGUGUUUAGAAAAAUUAAAGAAAUAUUUCAUUAUUCAUAAAAUAUAAACUAUACAAUAUAUAUUUUUAUAUAUAGAAAUUUUAUAUACAUUACUUAUUAAUUUAUAUUUACACUGGGACUAUAUAUCCAUAUAAGCUUUUUUCUAAUCUUAUUAUCUUAACAAAUUGUGUCAUAUCUAACACUGACCCAAUUUGAAAAUUGUAAAAUUUAUUAAUUUAUCGAAUAUUACUCUAUAGAGUUUACUGUAUAUCGUUGUUAAACAAAAAUUUUGUGGGUGGUAAUUGGUUAAUAACUUAAUAUAUUUCAUUCUAUCUAGAUACAAAUGUUUUGAUAUUUUAAAAAUUUACACAAAAACAAUAAAUAUAUUAUUNNNNNNNNNNNNNNNNNNNNNNNNNNNNNNNNNNNNNNNNNNNNNNNNNNNNNNNNNNNNNNNNNNNNNNNNNNNNNNNNNNNNNNNNNNNNNNNNNNNNAUAUAUUUGUUUUUUUCAAAAUUAAGAGAUGAUUGAUCUUGGAUCUUGGGGGUUUUUAAAAUACUUAGUUGUGGUUUUUCUUUGAAUAAAAACAUAUGUGAUUUAUGCAGAAUUGGUUCAUUUGUAUUGCAGUUUUGAUAUAUUAGAUCAUUUGUAUGAUAUAUUUAAAUAGUUCAAUAAAUAUAUUUGUUCUCAAACUCAUUUAAUUUUAUGUAUUAUUUACUGAAUGUGUCUCUGUAUUCAUAAUAACAUGUGAAUAUUUACUAAAUGGAGUGCUAACCGGUACACAAAUAACUAAAGACCAAUUUUUGAUAUUCUUGGUUUAUAGCUAGCCGAAUUUUGAAUACAUGUGACUAAUAAAUAGUAGAAUAUUAUUGGCAUGUAUGUAAAAAGUAUAUUUGUAUUUGUAUUCAAUUUAUUAAAAAGAUAUUUUACGAUAAUGUUCAUGUAUUUAGCUCAAUUUGUAAAUAAUAUUCAACAGUUGUUAUAGUUAAAAAGAAUAUUUCCAUAUAUUAAUAAAAUAAAUCAUGAUAUAUAUAUGUUUUAAUUUAACAAAAUUUUAGGGAAUAUACGUUUAACGAUAUUUGCGGUAGAUUUGAAAAUAUGUUAUAUUAAAUUAUAUGAUAUUUUAUGUCUGAUUUUAAUAUUUACGUCAAUAGUGCACCAGUGCACCACUUCAUCUUCUCCAAGAGUAAACUGUGUUUGGUUUAUAAAGUAAUAAUCUUAUUUACAAAAAGAGCAGUGUUCAUGUUUAAGACUAACAACAUAAAAAGUGUAUUCGUUGUUAACACUGCCACAUUUGAAAUAAUCUAUUUUUAGAUGAAAUAUGACUCGAGUAAAGUUUAUGCACAAAAAAAUACUUUUAGCGAGUUUGCUGUGUUCUGGAGUAUGGUUAUUCAUGUUCAUAGAAAUUCAGAAGAAAAAAAACACUUUUAGAAAAUUUAUUUUUUUCUUGAGUAUAUAUUGAGUAUGAUUGUUUAAGUUCAUAGAAGUUUGUUCAAAGAAAGAACACAAUUCAGAAUGGAUCAUCAAUCACCCGUAAUACCAAAGACACAUGAAAUUUGAUUCAUAGCAAGUUUAUAAGAAAAACAACAUUUAUAGUAACAUUGAAAAUAGUUAUCGUUAAUGGUCAUAGAAAUUGAGACUCUAUAGUUAGUUUAUUUUCUAUAUAGUGAAACACAAUACACGAUUUUUGUAGUGACAAUGUAUAAGAGCAUUUAGGUAACAUUAAUAAUUAAAUAAUAGGGAAAUUAAAUGUGAUUCUUUUUUAGGAGAUGGUCCAACUAAAAAAAUCACACAUGAAUUGAGAUUGUGACUUAAUAUAUAAGAAGUUUAACAUAAUCAUUAUAACAUUGGUCAUAUACACUAAUAUAGCGGGGUUUCUCUAGAAUAUUUGAAAUCUUAAAUUUAUUUCGCAUGUUAUAAUUGUAACAAAGAAAAAAAAUUAACUCUUAAUUUUUAUUAAUCAAAUCAUAAAUUAAAUACUAUAUUAAAUUUAAAUACUUAUUUAUAUUAAAUAAUAAAAAUAGAUAAAAAAUAAAAUAACAAAAGUAACUAUCUUAAAUUUAGAAUAUUUCAAAUAUUUAUUAUAUGUGCAUCAUUCUCUUCUCUUCGGGUCAGAGAAUAUAUCACUUUUAAAUUCUUUAAUUAAUUUUUCUUCUUCUUCUUCACUUCCAUAUGUAAAAUAAUUCACCAUAAAAUAUAUUGUUACUUUGUGCCACGUUAUUUUUUGUUUGCCAACAAACAAUUUCAGCACGUGUCAUAUUUAGUUACAUCCUUUCAUUUUUGCACUUCAGGCCAAAAUUGGAUAAAGAUUCCAUAUAUAUGGCGUUGCUAACAACAUAGCAGGGUUUGUUGAUCUUGCCACGUUAGCCUGAUAUUUUUUUUCUUCUUCACUUCCGUAUGUAAAAUUUUCAACAUAAAAUAUAUUGUUACUUUCUGUCAAGUUUUUGUGUUUACCAACAAACAAUUUCAGCACGUGCCAUAUUUAAUUACCUACUUCCAUUUUUUCACUUCAUGCAAAAAUUGGAUAAAGGUUCCAUAUGGUGUCGCUCUUAGAGUAAGCUCAAAGAAAGCUUGAGAAAUAAAGAAACUUAUUCCUAAUUGGUUUAUGAUCUUAAAGAUAGCCCUGAAACAGAUCCGGACAUCUGGAAAAUUUAGGGUAUCCGGAUCCGUCGGAUCGACGGAUCCGUGGAUUUAAUAUCCGGAUCCGGAUUCGUGGUUUCCGGAUAUCCGGGUUUCGGAUAUCCAUCUCGAAAUUCUAUUAUCCGCGGAUAUCCGGAUCCGGAUCCGGAUCCGUCAAAAUAAUUAAAAAUAUUUUUUUUAACAAAAAAUACUAAUUUUUUUAAUAUAAUACAUAAAUUAAAUAUUUAUAAAUAUAUUUAUAUAUGUUUAUAAUAUUGUAAAAACUAAAAUAUAAUAUUAUAAGAUUAAUUCAUGUAUAAAUAUUAAUAUAUCAAAUAUAAAUAUUAAUAAAAUUUAAAAAUUUAAUGUAUUUUAAAAAUACGGAUCCGGAUCCGGAUAUCCGGACCUAAAAAUUAAGAUAUUCGGAUCUGGAUUCGGUUUGCACAGAUCCAAAAUUUUACUAUCCGGAUUCAGAUCCGGAUACCCCAGAUAUCCUAUUUUCGGAGCGGAUCCGGAGCGGAUCUCGGAUCGAAUCCGGAUCUCGGAUAAUAAGUCUCAUGCCUACUUAAAGAGGUAAAGAUCAUAUUAUGUUUUAUGUUUUACAGUUAGGAAUAGGAAUUGUGAUAUCUCUAUAUAAAACAAUGUCUUGUGUUGACAUAUGCUAUGAGUUUUGUGAGUAAUUUGAUAUUGUGAUUGUAAACUUGAUUGAUUGAAUAAGAGAAAGACUUCUUAUUGAUAUUGAUUGUGUGAUUCUAUAUUUGGUAUCAGGGAAAACAAAACAACACAAACGAGAGAUAAACUGAGAAGAUCGCAUACAACCGAUAAUGAGUGAUAUCAAGGACGAGAUCGUAACGCACAAAGACACCAGCCUUGCCUCCAUCAAAUUCCCGAUGUUAACUUCUUCAAAUUAUAUUGUCUGGUCCAUGAGAAUGAAUGUGGCACUUAAAGUCAGUGAGGUGUGAGGAGACGAUUGACCCUGGAUCCAAGGAUGAGAAGAAAAACAAUAUGGCUAUAGCAUUUUUAUUUCAGUCCAUGCCAGAAGCUUUGAUCUUGCAAGUUGGAGAUAUAGAUACAUCAAAAGGAGUAUGGGAUGCAAUAAAAGCAAGACAUGUUGGAGCUGAAAGAGUCAAAGAAGCUAGAUUACAAACCCUAAUGGCAGAAUUUGAUAGACUCAAGAUGAAAGAAGAAGAUACAAUAGAUCUCUUUGUUGAGAAACUUUCAACACCAGCUCAAAAAAGGUAUAUAUUUAUGCUCAUAGACGAUCAUACACGAUACAUGUGGACAAUAUUAUUGAGAGAAAAAAGCGAAGCAUUCGACAAAUUCAAAAUGUUCAAAACACUUGCUGAGCAAGAAACACAAAACGAGAUCAAGAUGUUUCAAACCAAUAGAGGAGGUGAAUUUGUGUCUGAUGAAUUCAAUGCCUACUGUGAUAAGAAUGGUAUCAAAUGGCACUUGACGGCUCCCUACACUCCUCAACAGAAUGGAGUGGUAGAACGACGCAACCGGACACUUUUGGAGAUGACAAUGAGUAUCUUAAAGCAUAUGAACGUACCAAAUAGUCUGUGGGGAGAAGCUGUGAGACACUAUACCUACCUAAUCAACCGACUUGCAACAAAGUCUUUGGACGAGAGAACACCAUAUGAGAUGCUGCGAUUGAGGAGACCAAAUUUCUCUCACUUGAAGACAUUCAGAUGCUUAUGUUAAUGCAAGAACAUAAGCACCGGGAAGAAAGAAACUCGAUGAUAGGGCAAUAGUUUUGGUGCACUUGGGAACUGAACCGGGGUCAAAAGCAUACCGACUGCUUGAUCCAGUAACCAAACAAAUCAGAGUAAGCCGUGAUGUUACUUUAUAUGAAAAGAAAGAAUGGAACUGGAGUGAAACAGAGGAAACAGAGCAUCCUAAAUCAGGAGAGUUUGUCGUGAACUUCAAACAGUUAGGUAAUGUAUCUGAAGAACAAGAGAUCACUCAAGAGGAAGAAAGAAGAGAGUGAACACGCCAUUGACAUAAACGAUGAAGAAGACGCUGGUGUUGAUGAAGAAGAAGAUGAUCCGCAACCACUUAGAAGGUUACAUCGCGCGAGUACAAAGCCGUCUUAUCUAGAUGACUAUAUAUUGCUGGUUGAGGUUGAGAGUGAACGCUUGUUGAUGAUAAUAAACGAUGAGCCGUGGGAUUAUAAUGAAGCCAAGAAGUUGAAGGUAUGGAUCGAUGCUUGCAAAGACGAAAUCUUCUCCAUAGAGAAGAAUAGUACAUGGGAACUCGUUGAGUUACCUUCUGGAGUGAAACCAAUUGGACUUAAAUGGGUAUUUAAGAUAAAACGUAAUGCCGAUGGUAGUAUCAGCAAGUUUAAAGUGCGGUUAGUGGCAAAGGGGUAUGUCCAAAAACAUGGCAUUGACUAUGAUGAGGUCUUUGCACCAGUGGCUCGGGUUGAGAUGAUAAGAUUGAUCAUGUCGUUAGCUGCUUCUAAAGGAUGAGAGAUUCACCACCUUGACGUUAAGACUGCGUUUCUCCAUGGAUAAUUAAAGAAAGAAGUGUUCGUGGUUCAGCCAGAAGGCUUUAUAGUUAAAGGUCAAGAAGAAAAUGUUUAUAAGCUCAAGAAGGCGCUUUACGGCUUACGCCAAGCACCGAGGACUUGGAAUAUAAAGUUGAACCAGAUCUUGCGUGGUUUGAACUUUCAACGGUGUUCAAAGGAGCCUUCACUAUAUCGAAAGGAAGAAAACAAGAAGCUGCUUGUCGUGGUUGUAUACGUAGACGACCUAUUAGUUACCGGAUCAUCACUUCAGUUAAUACAAGAGUUCAAGCGAGAGAUGGAAACUAAGUUUGAGAUGAAUGAUCUUGGUAAGUUGACUUAUUAAUUGGGAAUAGAAGUUCAUCAAGGAGAGGAUGGUAUUGUUCUAAAACAGGACCGGUAUGCGCGGAAGAUUCUUGAGGAAACCGGAAUGGGCUCAUGCAAUCCAACACAUGUACCAAUGGAGAUGAAUGCCAAGUUUUAUAAGUCACCCGAUGAAAAGGGUAUUGAUGCAAGGGAGUAUCGCCGGAGCAUUGGUUGUCUUCGAUACUUACUACACACACGCCCUGACCUAUCGUUUAGUGUUGGUGUGUUUAGUAGAUAUAUGCAAGAACCAAAGGAGUGUCAUGGAGCAGCUUUGAAGAAAAUAUUGAGGUAUCUACGUGGUACAUGCUCUCUUGGUCUCCGAUUUAUGUGUGGGAAGAACUUGAAACUGGAAGGUUACAACGAUAGCUCGCAUAAUGUGGACAUCGACGAUGGGAAAAGCACCACAUGACAUGUAUUGAUUGUAUUCUAUCUUGGAGAUAGUCCUAUAACCUGGUGUUCGACAAAGCAAGAAAUAAUGGCUUUAUCAAGUUGCGAAGCAGAAUUUAUGGCCGCUACUGAAGCUGCGAAGCAAGCUAUUUGGCUUCAAGAACUGUUAAGCGAGGUCAUCAAUGAAGAUUGCAAACGAGUGAUGAUCAGAGUCGACAACAGAUCAGCAAUAGCACUUACAAAGAAUAUCGUGUUUCAUGAUCGAAGCAAACACAUACAUAGAAGGUUUCAUUUUAUUCGAGAGUGUGUUGAAAACGAGUAAGUAAAAGUUGAGCAUGUGCCCGGGAAUGAACAAAGAGCUGACAUACUAACCAAAUCACUUGGAAGGAUCAAAUUCAAGGAGAUGAGAAAUUUGAUUGAGUUGAAGAUGUGAAUGAAUUUGAGCUCAAGCUUAUGGGAGAGAAUGUUGGAGAAAGCUUGAGAAAUAAGGAAACCUAUUCCUAAUUGGUUUAUGAUCUUAAAGAGAUAAGAAUUAUAUUAUGUUUUAUGUUUUACAAUUAGGAAUAGGAAUUGUGAUAUGUCUAUAUAAAGAAAUGUCUUGUGUUCACAUAUGCUUUGAGUUUUGUGAGUGAUUUGAUAUUGUGAUUGUGAUUGUGAACUUGAUUGAUUGAAUAAGAGAAAGACUUAUUAUUGAUAUUGAUUGUGUGAUUCUAUAGUUGCUAACAAGUAACAACAUAGCAUGAUUGAUCUUGCCACGUUAGCCUGAUCUUCGAUAAGUCGUUCCCCAUUUUCACUAUCAUAUAUUAAUAUGUCAUAAGCUGGACUCAUGGCCGGUCCUGGGCUAAAGCCCGUAAAACCAGGAUUUUAGAUACCAAACUAAUAAAUACUUAAUGGCGCCAUAAUUAAUAAAAUCCAUUGUAGCCUAAAGACUGUCUUCCUUCCCUUUGUUAUCAGAGAUAUUAGGUUGGGAGUUUUCUUCCGUUUUUGUGUGUGAUAUAAUUAUAACAUUUUUUCUUUUCUUUUCUUUUAUGAGAACUAGAUUAUUUCUCCGCGCUACGCGUGGAUAAUAUAUUUAAAUUUGUUACAUUUAUCAUUUUUAUUUGUAAGCGAAUUUUUGUAUAUUAAAUUAUAUAUAACUAAUUUUUAAAUUUGAUUUUUUUUAUAUUUUUAGUUUGAAGUAAGUAUUUCUAUUAUAUGUAAAACAAUUAACUAAUAAAAUAUAAAGAAUCAAGUCCAAAAUUUUAGAGUUAUGUAAAAAAAUAUAAUUAUGUAUAGAACAUAAAUUAUCUUAGUUUAAAAGAUCGGAAUCUCAUCUCGAAUAAAUUCGCGAAAAGAAAAAGUACUCCAAUAACCUACUUAAAAUAUAAAACCCCCUAUUCAAAAAAAAGCGUACUUAAUAAAAAAAUUUUACGUGUAAUAGUUAAAAACUGACAAUUGAAUAUCGAUCUAGAAUAUUAUUUUAAUAUAUCUAAUGGUAAAAUAUUAAUUGUAAUAAACAAAUUUUGAAUUUUGUAAUAUUACAUGAUUUAGAAGUCCUUAAAAUCUAAAAAUCUAUUUUAUUAGCAUAAUUUAUUCAUUUAUUAUUUUAACGUUACAAAAUAUUGCUUUAGUUUUAUUUGUAUAUUAAUUUUUUAAUAAUUUAGUUUCUUUUUAAGUAUUUUUAAAAUUAUCGAGAAUAUAAUAUAUUUAAAAUUAUUUAUUUAAAUAUAUCCAAAUAUGAUGUCUCAUUUUUAUGUGUGUUUGCGUUGAGCAUAUUUAAUUUGUAGUUUGUAUAUUUAAUAACACCUUGUUGCGUACCGUUCUAAGGUUUUAAUAAAUGUGUUGUCAUUUCAUUUCUAUUACUACUAACAUGAUUUUUUAGUGAUCAGUGAUAAUGUAUUUUUAACGUUAUGUAUUAUAUUUUAUCGUAUAUUUUCUAACUCUUCGUGCUGGCACUUUUUUAGAAUCAUUUUAAUUAGAUAAUAGGUUUAAAAAUGUAAAUAAAACUGUGUAUGUUGUAAAUUUAGACUUUUUAGGGUGACUGAGCACUAUCAAUUAUGGAAAUUAUAUUAUGAUUUUAUUUUACUAAAUCUUUCUUUCUGUGUAUAUUUUUUGUUUUAUUUUAAAUUUUUACAAUUGUAUUGCCUUAUUCUCUAAUUGCAGAGAAUUGAUAUUUCUAAUUUUUGUUUCAUAUACCUUAAAAGUAUUCGGUUGAUUUUUGUUUGUUUUUUUUCUCCAAUUACAAUGUACAUUUCGACCUAUUUUUUUUUGGGAUCAAACUACUAAUAUCAUCAGAUAGAAAAGCUUAAACUCUAAGAAUGAAGUGAGUAUUUGUGCUAAAGAAAACUGAUUUAGCAACUAAUAUAGUGAGAUAUUACAAUAUUAGAAAGUAUGAAAAUUCUUCUCUGUUGUCCUACGCUGGACAUAAUUAAGUUGUUGUCAAUUGAUUCUAUAUUUGUGAUAACUGGAAAUACAUCUUUAUGUCUUCCUUACAAAAUCCUUAAUUGGUUUGCGGUUCGACCAUUUCUAAUAUACUAAGAGUAACAUAAUAUUAGAAGUUGAUUAUCUCCUUCCAAUUAGGAAUGCACAGAAUGAGAGAAAUUCAAGGUGAUACCACUUUACAAUUUUGUCCUCAUAUCUAUAUAAAGUUAUUUUAUAGAUUACUCUAUCUGUUUCAAAAUGUAAUCAGUUUUAAUUAAAAUCUGUAAUAUUAAAAGUUAUUACUUUAGAAAACUGUAUAAUAUAUAAAUUUAAUCAAUUAUACAGUAAUUUACAUAAUUUAAUUGGUCACACAAUAUCCAAAAAAUAUAAAGUUACAUUGAAAUAUAAAAACAAUUUAUAUAGUGAAACAAAAAAUACUUUUAAACCAUUAUAUUAUAAAACAAAUGGAAUAUUAAAAUUAUAUUGAAACAUUAGAAUAGUAAGAAUCAGAAAUGCUGAAAUCUCAACGUCGAUCGUUUACGUCGGCAAUGCCUUAGACCAUCUCCAAUGUAUUUCUCUAUUUUUUUCUCUAAAAUAGAGGAAUUUCAUAAUAGAGAUGAAUUUGUCUCCGAUGUAUUUUUCUAUUUUCUCUCCUAAAAAAAAAUAUUCUUGAUAUAUUCUUUUCUAAGUUUACAAAUAAUAUUUUUUAUUCGUGAAAGUUGAAAACCAGCCCAAUUUAUUUUAGUAUUUUAUAAAAUUAUGAUAUUAUUUACACUAAAUAUUUCUUUACAAACUAUUAUCUAAAUAAAAAAUAUAAUUAGAUUUAUAUAAAUAAUAUAUUUCACUAAAAAAAAUAUUUUCGGUUAUAAUUGUUUAAGUAAAAAGUUAAAUGAUCAUUUUGUAAAAAAAAAAUAGAGGAGGUGACAUGGCAAAAAUAUAGUUUCUCAUUGGCCGAUUAUUUUCGCCUACGUGGACAAUCUAUCUGAGGCUUAUAUCCUCCGGUUUUAAUUAAAAUCUGUAAUAUUUAAAAGUUAUUACUUUAGAAAACUGUCAUUUAAUAUAUAAAUUUAAUCAAUUAUACAGUAAUUUACAUAAUUUAAUUGGCAACACAAUAUCCAAUAAGUAUAAAGUUACAUUGAAAUAUAAAAACAAUUUAUAUAGUGAAACAAAAAAUACUUUUAAACCAUUAUAUUAUAAAGCAAAAUGAAUAUUCAAAUUAUAUUGAAACAUUAGAAUAGUAAGAAUCAGAAAAGCUGAAAUCUCAACGUCGAUUUUACGUCGGCCAUGCCUUAAAAAAUAACUUCCAGUAAUUUAGUAAACACAUAUUAAGUUUAAAGCAUCUGUCUAUGUCCGUUUGCUACAUCUCGGAAGANNNNNNNNNNNNNNNNNNNNNNNNNNNNNNNNNNNNNNNNNNNNNNCGGAAGAGCAUGAUUUUUUCAUCGUGAUCGGAGGUAACAUGGGAUUUUCCAUUCGAUUUCGUCGCCAUAGAUUGAGGUUAGAGAAAUUAUAGGGUUUGGUUUGCACUCAAGAGAGAAAAACAGUAUAUAAAGUAGCAGGAAAAGAGUAAACGGAAACGAAAUCAUAAAGAAGAAAUUGAUGGAUUGAGAUGUAGUGGAGUAUUGAUUGUGGAGAUGUGGAUCGAGAGAACUGUUACGAUGGAGAACAAACGGGGAAGAGGAAGAGCUGGAGGCGCAGAGCAUCGUGUUAUCCGUCUCGGGUUGGUUUUUUUUUUUAAUUAUACCGAUAGAGACGAAGCCCAGUAAACCAAAACGAAGCGUCGUUUUUUUUUAAUUAUACCGAUAGAAGCCCAGUAAACCAAAACGAAGCAAUACAAAAUCAAUAGCUUAAGAGAUCCUACAUGUAUUAACCAAAUGUUUUGAUUGGGCGAAUAUAUUUGUCAACGUGGACAGGCUUAAAACACUGUAUAUCUGCCUUUUAGUAUAGGAUAGUUAACAACAAAAGAUUUAUUCAUUCAAAUAUACAUAAGAUUUCGUAACUUUUUAGCACCCCUUUAAUUUAUUUUCUUUUUUUAUCACCCUUUAUAUUUAUGAUAAAUAAACAUCUCUAUAAUGUUAUUUGAUAAGUCAGUUUCUUACGUGUCGCGCUCACGUUAACUUUUAUGACGGAUAAUUAUCGAUGUACCCUUAAUGAAUUAUUUUUUUUUUUACAUUUAAAUACUAUUAUUGAUUAUUUAUUUAGUUUCAUUUUUUCAAAUAACAUAUAUAAUAAAAAGGAAAAAUUUAUAACGUUUAAAAGACGAAUUUAAAAACGAAAAUACGUGUAUAUGAUUUCAUUAAAAAGGAAAGUUCACAAAAAAGUAAUAUUCCAUUUAAAAAAUACUUUUGAAUAAUAUAAAAUAUACUUCUAAGUAGUAAAAUACUUUCUUAUAUCUGUAUUUUCUUAGAUGAAAAUAUGUAUAUGUAUACAAUGUGACUUCGUAAAAACAAAGUUCACAUAGAUAAUCUGAUAUUAAAAAAAUAUUAUUUAUUUUAAAACAUAAUUUUAAACAAUCCAAAAAAUAUUUUCAAAGUAAUAGAAAUAUUUUUUAUAUAUCUAUCUAUUUUCUUAGAGGAUUACAUAACAUAAUAACAUAAACUGGUAUAUGUUUAAUUGACUAAAAAUAGUUUAUACUUAGCAUCACUGAAAUGUUGUAUAUAUUUAUCAUAUAUUUAGUUGACUAUAUUAUCUUUCAAAAACAAUCACAAAAUCUUUUUUACUGAUUAUUUUUAAGAGAUAAGAAAAAAA
rnacentral:lncRNA from 1 species